GUAUUCUUUCAAGGAACAUGUUUUGCUGUUUUAAUACUUAGCGCUACCAUUUUUUUUUUUUUCAUACAAUUUUUUUGCUCCGAAAAAAAAGUCAAAAUUGUUUUCUAGAUACAUACACACACAAUAUAAUUUGCUUCUUUGAAAUCACACUGGGCUGUGUGCGCACAAGUCAAGAUGCAGCUGAUGGCAUUUCGAAUUUAUUGGAUUUCAGGCACGCAUAAAAAACCGAAAUCGUUGAAAUGACUGUAUUCAGCUCUUGAAAUUUUAAUUAAAUUUGUCAAGCAUUGAAAAGUCAUAGAAAAAUGAAUGAAAGCAAUGGACAAAAAACCGAUCAACUAAAAAUAAAUAAAAGCUUUCAACCAGCACAUCAACGUAGAAUUUUUAUUUCAGUGCCGAAUCAAUAGA